UACGUAGGGUGCAAGCGUUAAUCGGAAUUACUGGGCGUAAAGCGUGCGCAGGCGGUGAUGUAAGACAGAUGUGAAAUCCCCGGGCUCAACCUGGGAACUGCAUUUGUGACUGCAUCGCUGGAGUGUGGCAGAGGGGAUGGAAUUCCGCGUGUAGCAGUGAAAUGCGUAGAUAUGCGGAGGAACACCGAUGGCGAAGGCAAUCCCCGUGGGCCUGCACUGACGCUCAUGCACGAAAGCGUGGGGAGCAAACAGG
rnacentral:rRNA from 1 species